AACGAACGCUGGCGGCAUGCCUAACACAUGCAAGUCGAACGAGACCUUCGGGUCUAGUGGCGCACGGGUGCGUAACGCGUGGGAACCUGCCCUUAGGUUCGGAAUAACUCCCCGAAAGGGGUGCUAAUACCGGAUAAUGUCUUCCGACCAAAGAUUUAUCGCCUUUGGAUGGGCCCGCGUUGGAUUAGCUAGUUGGUAGGGUAAAAGCCUACCAAGGCGGCGAUCCAUAGCUGGUCUGAGAGGAUGAUCAGCCACACUGGGACUGGGACAAGGCCCAGACUCCUGAGGGAGGGAGCAGUGGGGAAUAUUGGACAAUGGGCGAGAGCAUGAUCCAGCAAGGCCGCGUGGGUGAUGAAGGCCUUAGGGUUGUAAGGCUCUUUUAACCGGGAUGAUAAUGACAGAACCGGGAGAAUAAGACCCGCCAAAUUCCGU
rnacentral:rRNA from 1 species